UCGUUUUAUUAAUUUGCUCUUUCAUAAACCGAAGCAGUAUCUCCCAACUCUAACUUUUCGCAUCUAUUAGUUCUUUUUGUGUUAUGUCUUUCAAUGCAUAUGCAGACUCCAUGGAUUUUGUGUAAGUUGCUUCCCACUUGCUUGUGGCUAUAAUGCUUAUGCAGUUUUUGCAAGAGCAAAUUAAUAAAACGAGAAUGACU
rnacentral:misc_RNA from 1 species